rnacentral:rRNA from 1 species
AGAAUCAACGCUGGCGGCGUGCCUAACACAUGCAAGUCGAACGAGAAAGUGGAGCAAUCCAUGAGUAAAGUGGCGCACGGGUGAGUAACACGUGACUAACCUACCCUUGAGUGGGGGAUAACCUCGGGAAACCGGGGCUAAUACCGCAUAAUAUCGAGAGAUCAAAGGAGCAAUUCGCUUAAGGAGGGGGUCGCGGCUGAUUAGCUAGUUGGUGAGGUAAUGGCUCACCAAGGCUAUGAUCAGUAUCCGGCCUGAGAGGGCGCACGGACACACUGGAACUGAAACACGGUCCAGACUCCUACGGGAGGCAGCAGUGGGGAAUUUUGCGCAAUGGGGGAAACCCUGACGCAGCAACGCCGCGUGGAGGAUGAAGUCCCUUGGGACGUAAACUCCUUUCGAUCGGGACGAUUAUGACGGUACCGGAAGAAGAAGCCCCGGCUAACUUCGUGCCAGCAGCCGC